rnacentral:rRNA from 1 species
UACGUAGGGGGCAAGCGUUGUCCGGAUUCAUUGGGCGUAAAGAGCGUGUAGGCGGCCAGGUAGGUCGGUUGUGAAAACUGGAGGCUCAACCUUCAGAGGUCGACCGAAACCAUCUGGCUAGAGUCCGGGAGAGGAGAGUGGGAAUUCCUGGUGGUAGCGGUGAAAUGCGCAGAUAUCAGGAAGAACACCCGUGGCGAAAGCGGCUCUCUGGAACGGUACUGGACGCUGAGACGCGAAAGCGUGGGGAGCGAACAGG